rnacentral:rRNA from 1 species
GAUGGACGCUAGCGGCAGGCCUAACACAUGCAAGUCGAGGGAGAAGCCCUUCGGGGCAGAAACCGGCGCACGGGUGCGUAACGCGUAUGCAACCUACCUUUCACAGGGGGAUAGCCCGAAGAAAUUUGGAUUAAUACCCCAUAAUAUUGUUGGAUGGCAUCAUCUGGCAAUUAAAACUGAGGUGGUGAGAGAUGGGCAUGCGUCCUAUUAGCUAGUUGGAGUGGUAACGGCACCCCAAGGCUACGAUAGGUAGGGGUCCUGAGAGGGAGAUCCCCCACACUGGUACUGAGACAGGGACCAGACUCCUACGGGAGGCAGCAGUGAGGAAUAUUGGUCAAUGGUCGGAAGACUGAACCAGCCAUGCCGCGUGCAGGAAGAAUGCCUUAUGGGUUGUAAACUGCUUUUAUAUGGGAAGAAUAAGGAGUACGAGUACUUUGAUGACGUACCAUAUGAUAAGC